UGUGAUCUGUUCGUGUAUGCAUUUGUGUGUGUGUGUGUGUGUGUGUGUGUUAAACACACACACACACACACACACACACACACACACAGCACUAAAGAAUUAUAUCACACCAACACACAC